rnacentral:rRNA from 1 species
UUAAAUUGAGAGUUUGAUCCUGGCUCAGGACGAACGCUGGCGGCGUGCUUAACACAUGCAAGUCGAGCGAGGAAAUUCCUUCGGGGAUUUCCUAGCGGCGGACGGGUGAGUAACACGUGGGCAACCUGCCUGAUAGAGGGGGAUAGCCUCCCGAAAGGGAGAUUAAUACCGCAUAAAGUCAAAUGAAGGCAUCUUCAAAUGACC